rnacentral:rRNA from 1 species
UACGGGAGGCAGCAGUGGGGAAUAUUGCACAAUGGGCGCAAGCCUGAUGCAGCCAUGCCGCGUGUAUGAAGAAGGCCUUCGGGUUGUAAAGUACUUUCAGCGGGGAGGAAGGGAGUAAAGUUAAUACCUUUGCUCAUUGACGUUACCCGCAGAAGAAGCACCGGCUAACUCCGUGCCAGCAGCCGCGGUAAUACGGAGGGUGCAAGCG